GGAUCUGGAAUGAAAAAAAAAAUCUUUUGAAAAGGUAUUUGUAUAGCUUCACUUCAGCAAGAUUCAUGGUGGGUAUUAGACUAAGUGCUGGUGUUAAGCCAAACCAUGUUUUUCAAAGACUCAUCUGGCCUCAAGUUUGGCAGGAUCAGAGUGGCCUCCCAGGAUCUAUCCCAUCCUCAGAAGAGUUGGUUCAACUGGCAUGUACCCAGAUCUCUUUGAGCUACGAUGAUACUCCCUUGAGUCAAAGGCUGCCACAUCACAUCUCCUUUAAGUCCCCCUAAGUACGACCCCAGAAGUAUUGACAAAAUAGUGCUAUUCCUGAAGAUUUCAGGAGGACAUAAAUGAAGAGACUAAACUGCAAGGUACCAAAACUUCCAUCUUUGCUAAAGACCCUCAUCCAGGCUGGGCACGGUGACUCACGCCUGUAAUCCCAGCAAUUUGGGAGGCCAAGGCGGGUGGAUCACCUGAGGUCGGGAGUUCAAGACCAGCCAGACCAACAUGGAGAAACCCCAUCUCUACCAAAAAUACACAAUUAGCCGGGCGUGGUGGCACAUGCCUGUAAUCCCAGCUACUAAGGAGGCUGAGGCAGGAGAAUCGCUUGAACCUGGGAGACGUAAGUUGCGGUGAGCUGAGAUCGUGCUAUUGCACUCCAGCCUGGGCAACAAGAGUAAAACUCCAUCUCAAAAACCAACAAACAAAAAGCUCUUAUCCAAUGGUCAUGCCACUCUAUCUGGCCAUGUAAUUUCUCCUCCUGGCUUUCUGUAGCAACAGCCUUCUGGGGAACCUCACUCUGUCUUUCAAAACCCCUUCACCUUGUACCCUUCAUCAGCAAAGUACUUAGCUCAACAUGUAUGCCUCUGGGGGUACUCAUCCACAUGCCAUUUCAGGAUAUUUCCAGCAACAUCAUCUUCACUACCCCAGGAUGGCAUUUUAGAGUGGAUUGCAUGCCUGCUGGAUGUGUUGUACUUGAACGAGUUAGAGAAAAUGCCACACUUUGAGACAAAUUAAUAGUCUGUUCAUUUAGCCGAUGGCUAAGAAAUGGCUAACGUUUUAAGUUCUCUCGGCCUCGAAGAAGGGGCUAGAUUUUCUUUUAUACUUUGGUUUAGAAAGGGGAGGGGGGUCUAGUUAAAACAAGUUUACAGAAGUAGGCAGAAAAGUUAAAAGGAUAAAUUGUUGCAGGAAAGUAAAGAAUUCUAGGUCUAGGGGCUUUAAGACUAUUAUGAGGUGAUAGAAGCGGGGCUUUGGGCGCUAUCAAUUGGACGAAUUCCUGGGUACUGCGGAUAUUGCUCGCCACAGUAUCUUAUCAGUUAAUUGCAUUCUUCGAUGUGCUGGGAGUCAGCUUGCACAAGUUAAGUCCUUGAGGAAGGGGCUGCCAGUGAAAGAGCCAAGAUGGAGUCUCUCUGGCUCUCUUAGCUAAGGGAGAGUCAAUUCAGUUGGAAACAAUGCUAGGUGAUUCAAAGAAAGGGAAAGUCUAAGAACAGGGUUAGUAAAAAUAAGGUUGGGCAUUACAUUCCUCACUUGUGUUUUUGGGGAACCAAAUCGUUGAUUUUUCAGUUAUAACAAGGGGGUUAUAUUGAGUCUUAAGAUACAUAAGUUCGACAGAAGCUAAGCGUUGUUUUACAAAAUUAAGAAACUAAUUUAAUAUACAAGGUCCAAAAAUUAAACUUAAUAGUAAGGACGGGGAGGGGGUCUGUCUAACUUAGUAAUUAGAAUAGUUAGCUCUGGGUUCUAGUUGAACAUGUUUUAAUACUGGGGGAUGUUAUUUUCUUGUUCUUGUUGGCGCUUAUCUAGAUUUUCUUGCACUUUCUGGAGUGUAUCUUUUAUGACUAAGAAUGGUGGAGGAACAGUUAAAUCAACUUUCUCAGGGUGUUUCUGGAACAUAGGGUUACUUAGAUCAGUUAAAGGCCUGAUUGGCUUGGGUGGGCUUUAUGAGACUAGGGUUUUUUUUUGGAUGGUGAACAUAGACUUAACAUUAAAUCCUGGGAUAUAAAAUCUUAAUCUUCAUGACAUGCCAUGAUACUAUUGAGUUAAAUUAAGGUCAUGGACAGUUAUAGUAAGAGGAUUACAAUUUUUUCUAGUAUAUAAUUUAGGAUGAGAAGCAUGACUUAUGGAAAGAGUUGAAGAUCUGGUUGAUCUUUUAGAGUAGGUGGCUAAAGUUACACAUGUCUAAUCAGGGCAGAAAAACUGAUAAGUAUUUUGACAGCUAGCAUCAGGGUGAUUUCUAGGACAGAGGUAAAAGUCAAUAUUUUGGAGUCUUUUUUCUGCACUUUUGGAGCUUCUACACUUAGUUUGGCUCUUGGAGUGUCUGAAUCUUGCUGAAAGGUCGACACUUCCUGCUCCUGGAACUGGCAGAUUGUGUUGCUUUUCGUGGGUAUGGGCUGGCUUUGGGAACAGUACAAAUAAGUCAACUGCAAAAGAGACUUGGAGGUACUGGCCUUCUAAGUGGUGUUUGCAAAUACACUUCCUGUUGUGAAAGAGGUGAGGAGAAAGGAGUAGGAAGGCACAGAGGAUGUAACGGGCAAAAACAAAUAAGUGGGGUAGAUAAAAAGAAUGAAUCUAAUGGCUUCACCUAACUUAGGUGCAGUUUUAAGGGGACUGACUUAGGCCUGGAGACUUAUGUUUUUAGCUGGGCUCUUUUGGCCUUUUUGAUGCGGGAGUGAUGAAUGUAAGCAGGAAUGCCAUCUACUUUCAGAGCAGUUGGCGUCGUGAGGAUGACGGUGUGAGGUCUUUUCUAAGCAGGAGUGAGUCUUUCUUUUUGGAACUUUUUAACAAACACUAGGUCUUCUGGCUGGAACGAAUGGCAGGACUUUGGUCAGGAAUUGGAUUGGGAUGGGCUCCUGGAACAAGUGGCAGGAGAAUAUCUUGUACCUGUUGGAGAGACUAUAGGUACUGUAAUCAAUUAGUUUGUGAUAUUUCUGCUAAUUUGGCAUCUGUUAGCUUAGGCAAGAUAGGCGGUGCCUUAUUAUACAUGAUUUCAAAAGGUGAGAAAUUAGCCUGGUAAGGGGUGCACCUUACUUUAAGUAGGGCUAAAGGAAGGAGACUUACUUAAUUUACACUGUUUUUUUAAGAUUAAUUUUGUAGGAAUGUUUUUUAGGGUGUGGUUCAUGCGUUCUACUUGCCUGGAGCUCUGGGGUUGAUAGGCACAGUGAAGCUUCUAUUGAAUGUUUAACGCCUUACUGACUGACUGAGCUAUAGGCGAGGUGAAGGCUGCUCUAUUAUCAGACUUUAUGGCAGCAGGCAGCCUAUAUUGAGGGAUGAUUUCAUUGAGUAAAAACUUAACUACUAUGUUGGUGGUUUCAUUUUCGGUAGCAAAUGCCUUAGUCUAUCUGGAGAAGGUGUCUACUAGUACUAGAAGGUAUUUGUACUUAGCCUGGUGUGGUUUGACUUCUGUAAAGUCAAUUUCUUACUUUUUUCUUGGCGACUUUUUUCAGAGACAGUGGCCUGGACUGGGUUUAGGACUUUGUUUGGCAUUUACGUGGGCGCAGGUUGUGCACUGGAGAGCUGCUUAAUCUGUUAGGCUUUGAAGACGGGGGAUCUUAAAAUGGCUCUGGAGGAGCUGAGGUAGCUUUGCUCUUCUUAAAUGGGUGGUAGACUGUACCUAACUGAUUAAAGUUUCUUUAAGAGUUCAGGGUAUGAAGAUUCUAGAGUCAGGAAGAAUCUACUAACUUUCCUGAUUUUUAUUGGCUCUCAGAUCCGAAGCCCGUUGUUGUUGUUGUUGUUGUUGUUGAGUAUACGGGAUGGUCAGGCAGAUCUGGCUGUGGAAAGGAGACUGUUGGCAGAAAGUUUAGAGGCGUGACUGAAAGUCUCGCUGCGACCUGAGCUGCUGAAUCAGCUUUCUGAUUACUAUGGGCAACGGCCGUGUUUUCUUUUUGAUGUCCUUUGCGGUGGAUCACAGCUACCUGCUGAGGUGAGUAGCCUGCUUUCCUGGUAGAUGGCUUUAUGUACAUGCACAGUAGCAAAGGCGUACUUGCUGUCAGUGUAAAUGUUAAUACAUUUAUUCUUACUUUAUCGGAGAGCCUGAGUGAGGGCGAUCAACUCAGCCUUUUGUGCUGAGGUGUUCGCUGGUAAACCUUGAGCUUACAACACAUGUGUCUCCGUGGUAACAGCUGCACUGGCUCUUCAUAUUUCCUGCUUGAGGAAGCUGCUACUGUCUGUGAACAUGGCAGCAUCUGCCUUUUCUAGGGGCACAGCUUGAAGAUAAGAUAGGCCAGUUUCGAUAGUUUCUAACAGUUCUUGACAGUCAUGAGCAGGAAUAGUGGAGUCUGAGUGAGGAAGUAGAGUAGCUGGAUUGAAACACUUUGUGGGAGAGAAAGUCAAACGAGGCUGAUCUAACAGUAAACUUCGAUACUGCAAGAUGCGAGCAUUUGACAUCUAUUUGCCAGAAGCAUUUUGUAGUAAGGUCUUUACGGCGUGAGGAGCUGUAAGGGUUAAAUUUUGGCUUAGAGUUAACAUCAUCUUCUUGGGCCAGGCUUGCUGUAGCCGCUACGGCUCACAGACAACUUGGUCAUCUAGAGGCCACAGGAUCUAGCCUCUUAGACAAAUAGGCCACUGGGCGGCUUUAGGGUCUUAGAGUCUGAGUAAGCACGUCUUUAGCAACUCCUUGGCUUUUAUGGAGAUAUUAGGGAGGGCUAAAGCAGGGGCUUCAGUUAAUGCUAAAUUAAGGGGCUAUUUCAUUCUGUACUUCUUGGAUAGCUGCCACUACAAUUUUUGUCUUUUGAAUGCUUUACAGCGGCCUUUUCAGCUGCCUGUGUUGCUUGUUUUUGUUUUUUAAGCUUUUGAUUAUCAAAAACUUUUUGGACUAUUUCUAAAAGCUGACUGAUAUUUAUUCUAGAAAAUCUUUUUAGUUUUUGGAGUUUCUUUUUAAUAUCCUAGGCUGCCUGAGCCACAAAUGCUAAAUUAAGAGCAAGGCUAUUUUCGGGAGCUGCCGGGUCAAAAGGGGUGUAAAUCCGAUAAGCCUCCUGGAGGCGCUCUAAAAACGUUCUUGGUGACUUAUCGGGCCUUUGGACAACUUCGGUCGUCUUAGACAAGUUUAUGGGUUUCUGAGAGGCUCUUUUAAUACUUGACAGGAGAUACCGGUGAAAAUCGUCUAAAGCUCUCUUUCUACUUGAGGAAUGUGAGUCCUGGUUAGGCUGGGUGGAGGGAAAGACCUCCUCAAGGAGGUCUCUAGCUUCUUCUUCCGGUCCAUUGGCUGAUGUGAGGAAGUACUUUUUGGCUUCUUUUUGGAUACGUUCCUUCUUUUCAGAGGUGAAAAGGGUUAAAAGCAGCUGUUGGCAAUCAUCUUAGGUGGGCGGGUGGGUCCGGAGUACAGACUCUGUCAGAGAGGUCAAAGCCUGGGGCUUUUCAGAGAAGGGAGGAUUAUGGGUUUUCUAAUUAUAUAAGUCAGAAUUAGAAAAAGGGACACAAACUAAGAAGGGUGCUGAGCGCUCGUCACUUGGAGGGACUUGUGCCUCUCUCAGUGGUAGUAGAGGGGCUACUUCUUCCUACCACGGUCAUGAUUGAGAGGCAAUGGGUGGCGAGACUACAGGGGACGUCGUCGAGGAGACAUGGGAUAACUUUAAGGGAGAAGGCUGGUUGUAAGGAGGUGGGACUGGGUGAGGGAGACUCCCCUCUUCUUCAGAGGGAGGCAGUACAGGGGAAGCUGAACCGGCUGAGGGUCGAGGCGAAAACGCGGUCUGGCUUAGGAGGACCUUGGAGGUAGAAUUAUGAAUGGUGCAUGAAUGGAGCCAUGGAGAGUGGAUUCUGACUAAAAGUAGCUAACGUAGGGAAACUGAUCAGGGUGGCUAGGAGUUUCUGUAACAACCUGCCACACAGCUUGAACAAUUGUGAGGUUCAAUGACCCUUCAGGGGCCACUUGACUUUAAACUUUGGCCAUUUUAUUUUGCACAGUGUCUGGAGCUUGCCUUUUUUAAGGCGGACUUUAUAAUCCUCUGAACUGAGAGAAAAAUUCUGCAGCAUACAUUGGAGAGGGCUUUAACUUUACAAGGCUGGGAGGAAGUGUUUCUUAUUUUAUUUUAUUUUAUUUUUUGAAGGCAAUUUAAUAAGAUUUGAGCAUAGAUAUUAAACUUAGCAUGGACAGAGAAACUUAUUUCUUGGGGGACUGGCGUAGUGAAAGAACAGAAUCAAUAUGACUAGAAAGAGCAGAAAAACUUACAACAGCUAAUACUACUUGCUACAUUACUGUAGCUUUAAGAUUGAGGGAGGAGGACUAGAGCCAGCCUGAGAUCUUCUGGGUCAGUUUGAUCUAGGCAUUCUUCUUCUUCUUCUAGAUCUGCACUUUAAAUACUUUUGGUGUCUUUAUGACUUAAACGCAAAUAGCUUAAACUUAGCUUUUUCUUUUAAGGGUUUAAGGAGUAAGAGCAGAGCCAAGUCCUGGAGACGGUAAAUUUGCUGUCGCACCGUAAAACGAGAUGUGCGGGAUAGGGGGCAGGGACAAGGCGGAAAAGGACUACUCGGAUCAUUUUUAAGUAGGGACAGUAGCCACAGAGGAACAGAGUAAGAAUCUAAAUGAAGUAAAGCACUACGGGCGUACAUUUCUUUACACGGUGUUCUACUUAAGGGCACUGGAAAAGUUACAGAAUGACAAGAGAGGUGAGCAAGGAAAUCUGUAGGGUGGCUGUUUUGAACUCACUACUGGUUUAACUUAGAGGAGGUCUAAUCACUUGGACGUGGAGUAUGACGAUCUAAAUACUUACAACUUUCAUGGUGCUAGAAAUCUUAAUCAGGCAAAUGUUUUUCACACUUGUUCUUGUAACAACACUUGACUUGCUUCUGGCAGAAAAAAAAGGACUGUAGUGGCCAGCCUAAAAGGUUGAUGAGAAAUUUAACCUCCUGUGACAAAAAAUCAGCUCUAAGGACUUAGAAGAAGUUUUUACUUAGACGUCUUGGGCAAUAUCAACGUCUUGACAUGCAAAACUUUGACAACUACUAACAAGACAAUAGACACUGAACAGAACAAUCAAUAUAAAACAAACAAUUGACUUUAGGGCAUGUAAACAGUUAUGACAGUUUCUUCCUUUUUUUUUUUUUUUUUUUUUAGACAGACAAGGGGAGGGUUUCCUUUGAUGGGAUCAGUCAGAUGCCUGCCUGGCCGCUCCCCCUGAGGGGACUUGGGCUCCUCUUAGCAUUGGCAGGCAGGUAUAAACUUGCGGCUCAGAUCAAGCUAUGCCUGAUGCUGCCUUAAGCCUUAUGAGGUCGCCACGGAACCGCAGGUGAGGGCCCACUUGAACUCCGUAGCUUUCGCGGUGGAGCUACAAACUGCAGGACAAGCGCAAGCCCUUGUCCUCCCUCAUUCAUUCAUUAUUCACAAAGAGUUUAUAACAGUUUUUUUUUUCUUUCUUUCUUGGAGAUUCUUCAAGAAACUUGAAUAAGAGAAAGAUGAGAGAUAGAAAAAGAGAGACAGAGAGUGACCGGUCUGCCAGAAACCAGGACUCAGUCCUCCAGCAUCCUGGGAUGUGAACUGAGUCAAGGGAGGGCCCCUGUCAGGGCCACUUCCCUCCUAGAAAGAGACACAGAGGUGCCUAACAGAAAACCAGGGCUCUACCUUCUAGCGUCCUAGAGAAACAGGUAGAGUCAAAAGAGGGACACCCUCAUCAGGGCCGCUUCCCUCUUACUAGAACUGAAGUCAAAUCUGACCUACGUGACCUCAGGGUCAGAAGUCGAGGACUCAGAGGUGGAAUUUUUAUGGGCACCCACACGGUAGUCGAUAAGCUCUCCUCUGGAAGACGCUCACCUUUCGAGGACCUGAAAAUUCUUUUUUAGGUGGCACCCCCCUACAAGCCGGCCGUGAGCCCGGAGGGAGCCCGGGUCUCGCCUGAUGUCGUUUCUCGCUGGGGCCUCCAAGUGUUGUACUUGAAUGAGUUAGAGAAAAUGCCACACUUUCACAUGAAUUACGAGUCUGCUUAUUUAGCUGUGGGCCAAGAAAUGGCUAAGUCUUAAAGUUCUCUUGGCUCCGAAGAAGGGGCUAGAUUUUCUUUUAUACUUCAGUUUAGAAAGGGGAAACGGGUCUAGUUAAAAGAAUUUUACAGAAGUAAAGUAGGCAAAAAAGUUAAAAGGAUAAAUUGUUACAGGAGAGUAAACAGUUCUAGGUCUAAGGUCUUUAAGACUAUUACAAAGUGAUAGACGUGGGGCUUUAGGCAUUAUCAAUCGGACAAAUUCCUGGGAACUGCGGAUAUUGCUCGCCCCACAGUAUCUUAUCAGUUAAUUGCAUUCUUCGAUGUGCUAAGAGUCAGCUUGCACAAGUUAAGUCCUUGAGGAAGGGGCUGCCAGUGAAAAAGCCAAGAUAAAAGCUGUCCCCGGUGUUAGAGGUGGGGCCUGAUGGGAAGAGAUUGGAUCAUGGGGGUGGAUUUCUCAUGAAUGAUUUAGCAUCAUCCUUUUGGUCCUGUCCUUGCAAUAGUGAGUGAGUUCUUGCAAGAUCAGGUUGUUUACGAGUGUGUAGCACCUCCCUCCUUACUCUCUUGCUACCGCUUCACCUUCUGCCAUCAUUGUAAGUUUCCUGAGGCCUCCACAGAAGCUCAGCAGAUGUCAGUGUCAUGCUCCCUGUAUAGCCUACAAAACUGCGAGCCAAUUAAACCUCUUUUCUUUAUAUAUUGCCCAGUCUCAGGUAUUUCUUUAUAGCAUGAGAACAGCCAAAUCCAGCAGCCAUAGACAAUAUGUAGCAAAUGUGCAUGGCUGUGUUUCAAUAAAACUUUAUUGACAAACACAUGUGCAAGCAGGUUAGAUUUGGCCCAUGGGCCAUAGUGUCCCAGCAUCUACUCUGGAAUAUUCUGUUCAGCCUGGAUGGAUAUCUCUAGGUUUUUUUUUUUUUUUUUUUUUUUGAGACAAAGUCUCACUGUUGCCCAGGCUGGAGUGUAGUGGUGCAAUCUUUGCUCACCACAACCUGUGCCUCCUGGGUUCAAGCAAUUCUCCUGCCUCAGCCUCCCAAGUAGCUGGGAUUACAGGCACCUGCCACCACACCUGGCUAAUUUUUGUAUUUUUUAAUAGAAAUAGGGUUUCACCAUGUUGGCCAGGCUGGUCUCAAACUCCUGACAUCAGGUGAUCCACCCACCUCAGCCUCCCAAAAUGCUGGGAUUACAGGUGCCCGCUACCACACCUGGCUAAUUUUUGUAUUUUUAGUAGAGAUGUGGUUUCACUAUGUUGCCCUGGCUGGUCUCGAACUCCUGAUCUCAAGUGAUCCACCUGCCUCGCCCUCACAAAACGCUGAGAUUACACGUGUGAGCCACUGCAGCUGCCCUCUAGAUUUUUUUUUUUUUUUGACCAUUGCUUAUUUGGUUUGACUUUCAUUUUCUUCCCCAUUGUGGUAGUCAUUUUCUGAAUGCCUGUUAGUUUGUCCAUCUCUCUCCUCUGUAGUCCCUAGAGUCAGAUGAACUCCUCUGCAGGUGCAAUGGUGUAACACUCUCUAGUGCUGAAUUUUGAGCAGGAGAAAGAGAGCAAGAGUGACCACUACCUUUGGAAACACUGGCCUCCUGAGAAUUUGGUGUCUCCUCUGCAAAGGUUGCAUACCUGUUAACCCACAGGCCGGAGAGAGAGACAAGCCAGAAUCAUGAUCUGUUGAGCUUGAGUUUAAUAUUUGAUGCACAGAGAUCACUGAGUUUUUUGAUAAGAAUUAGAGGGGGAAGAAAUGGCCACAGAGAACAAUUUCUAUCUCCAGGUGAGGAUUCAGGAGAUAAUUCUGUGAACAGAACUUCCAGAGAACCGAGAUGGGGGAAAUCGCUGGUAUUAGAAGAGUGAAAAUGUCAGUAAGUAUGGCUACGACUGUGCUCUUAGAGGCAAAAGAAGAAAAUGAGACUGCCAGGCAUGAAUAAUGAGAAAUCUUUGAUGGAAUUAGCCAUGCAGAACAGAUACUAAAUGCAUCCUCAUUCUUCUCAUAGUCAAAAGUUUUUGCUUAAGCUGGAUGGGAAAAAGAGAAUCCCAUUUCACUAAGUAUAAAAGAGGGGAUUUUAGAGAAGGUCUCAGAAGAAAGAGAUGUGGGGGUUUGGUGAAACUCACCAGAGGCUGAACCCUCUCCAGCAUAACACAGGGAUUGGGAGGAGCGGGGCGGCAUUAGGCCAGGUGCAUAGCCCAGUGCUGCUCUCUCUGGACUUUCUGCUCUCUCUGGACUUGUUUGCUAGCGGAGCUUAUCGAUUUACAUAAUUUUCAGUGCCAUUUCUCAGCUAAUGAGUCCUGAACUUUUGUCUUGUGGCUAGACUUCUCUUUGAAACAGCAGUCUUAAACACACAACUUCUUUAUUGUUUUUUCCACUUGUCAACUCAUGAACACCUCAACCUUGUUACAUCCAAAGCCAAACUCAUGGCUUGGAGUGGUAGGUGAUGGCUGUAAUCCCAGUGCUAUGGGAGGCUGAGGUGGGAGGAUUACUUGAGGCCAGGAGUUUGAAGCCAGCCUGGAAAACACAGUGAGACUCCCUAUCUACAAAAAAAAAAAAAAAGCUAGGCAUGGUGAUAUGCAUCUGUAGGAUCUGUAGUCCUGCUACAUGGUAGGCUGAGGCAGGAGGAUCACUUGAGCCCAGGAGUUUGAGGCUCAAAGAGCUAUGAUUGCACCAAUGCACUCCAGCCUGGGUGACACAGCCAAAGACCCUGUCUUAAAAAAAAAACCCAAAGCCAAACUCUCUUUUUCCUCCUCCUUCUCCAUGGGCUCUGUCCAUGCCAUCUCUGUUCUGUAAAUGGCACCACCCCUGCUGAGCUGCUCAAGGUGGUCAUAACUCAUGUGUUGUGCUAACUCUGCUUUUGCCUUCUUCUCCAAGUCCUGUGAUUCUAAACUUUAUCCAACUUGUCCACUCUCUGUAGCUUCACUGUCAUUAUCUUUGCCUAGGACACUGCUAUCUCAGCUGGGCUACAGCAACCUCCUAACUGGUCUUAACUGGUAUUCUGCACCUGCUCUCCAUGCUCAGCAAUCCAUUUCCUACCUGGCAGCUUCAGUGAUCUUAAGGCGUCCAUUGAGUCUCAUCCCUGCCUUUCCUGCCCAUGGUACAUAGAAUAAAAUCGAGACCCCGAGUCUUCUGCCUGUUCCUGCCACCUCUCCAGCCCUCUCCUAUCUCCUGCCCUUAGCCUACUCUAUUUCAGCCACUAUGGCCUCCUUUUGUUUUCUUGGACUUUCAAACUUUUUUCCACAACAUGGCCUUUGCACUUGCUGCUUCAGCCUGGAAUGAUUUUCCUCUGCACCUCCCCAAAUUAGACCAUCCUUUAGGUGUCAGCUAAAAUGGUGCUUCCACAGGCAGCUCUUCCCUGACUCUGCUCUUCUCCACCUUAACCUCUUAUUGUUUCCUGUUGUGGGAAGUCAGGGACCCCAAAUGGAGAGGGACUGGCUGGAGCCAUGGCAGAGGAACAUAAAUGGUGAAGAUUUCAUGGACAUUUAUCAGUUCCCAAAUAAUACUUUUAUAAUUUCUUAUGCCUGUCUUUAAUCUCUUAAUUCUGUUAUAUUCAUAAGCUAAGGAUGUACAUCACCUCAGGACCACUGUGAUAACUGUGUUAGCUGUACAAAUUGAUUGUAAAACGUGUAUUUCAACAACAUGAAAUCAGUGCACCUUGAAAAAGAGAAUAACAGCAAUUUUUAGGGAACAAAGGAAGACAACCAUAAGGUCUGACUGCCUGCAGGGUUGGGCAAAAAGAGCCAUAUGUUUGUUCUUGCAGAGAGUCUAUAAAUGGAUGUGCAAGUAGGAGAGAUAUCGCUAAAUUCUUUUCCUAGCAAGGAAUAUUAAUAGUAAUACCCUGGGAAAGGUAUGCAUUCCUGGGGGAAGUUCUAUAAAUGGCCGCUCUGGGAAUGUCUGUCUUAUGCGGUUGAGAUAAGGACUGAGAUACGCCCUGGUCUCCUGCAGUACCCAAAGGCUUACUAGGGUGGAGAAAAACUCCGCCCUGAUAUAUCUGUGGUCAGCCUGGUGCCCUGCUCUUGAACCCUGUUUUCUGUUGUUUAAGAUGUUUAUCAAGACAAUACAUGCGUGAAUGAACAUAGACCCUUAUCAGUGGUUCUGCUUUUGCCCUUUGCUUUGUGAUCUUUGCUGGACCCUUAUCAGUAGUUCUGCUUUUGUGCUUUGUCCUGUUCCCUCAGAAGCACGUGAUCUUUGUUAGACCCUUAGUAGUAGUUCUGCUUUUUGCCCUUUGAAGCAUGUGACCUUUGUACCUACUCCCUGUUCUUACACCCCCUUCCCUUUUGAAGCCCUUAAUAAAAACUUGCUCAUCUGAGACUCAGGGGGGCAUCACGGUCCUACUGAUGUGUAAUGUCACCCACAGAAGCCCAGUUGUAAAAUUCCUCUCUUUGUAGUGUCUCUCUUUAUUUCUCAGCUGGCUGACACUUAUGGAAAAUAGAAAGAACCUACAUUGAAAUAUUGGUGGCAGGUUCCACCUAUACUUCUUUCAUGGAUUUACUUAUUUUUUGUUUGUCCCCCUCUGUAUCCUAGAAACUCCUGGAGGGCAGAGGCAUGCCUGCCAUCUUCAUCAUUGCAUUACCACCACCCAACACUAUCAGGGGGACCUGCCCUGAUCAUCAACUCGGUUCUUUUCUACUUUCCUAAGUGCUGAGUGGCUUGAGAAAUAAAAGGACAGAGUACAAAAGAGAGAAAUUUUAAAGCUGGGCAUCCGGGGGAGACAUCACACAUUGGUAGGAUCCAUGAUGCCCCACAAGCCACAAAAACCAGCAAGUUUUUAUUAGGGAGUUUCAAAAGGGGAGAGAGUAUAUGAAUAGGUGUGGGUGACAGACAUCAAGUACUUAACAGGGUAAUAGAAUAUCACAAGGCAAGUGGAGACAGGGUGAGAUCACAGGACCACAGGACGGAAGUGAAAUUAAAAUUGCUAAUAAAGUUUUGGCACCAUUGUCAUUGAUAACAUCUUAUCAGGAGACAGGGUUUUGAGAUCAACCCGUCUGACCAAAGUUUAUUCCAAAAUUUAUUAGGCGGGAAUUUUCUCUUCCUAAUAAGCCUGGGAGUGCUAUGGGAGACUGGAGUUUAUUUCACCUCUGCAAUCUCAACCAUAAGAGACAGGUACGCCCCGGGGGGCCAGUUCAGAGACCUACCCCUAGGUGCGCAUUCUCUUUCUCAGGGACGUUCCAUGCUGAGAAAAGGAAUUCAACGAUAUUUCUCCCAUUUGCUUUUGAAAGAAGGGAAAUAUGGUUCUGUUCUGCCUGGCUCACCGGCGGUCAGAGUUUAAGGUUAUCUCUCUAAUUCCCUGAACAAUUGCUGUUAUCCUGUUCUUUUUUCAGGGUGCCCACAUUUCAUAUUGCUCAAACACACAUGCUGUACAAUUUAUGUACUUAACGCAAUUAUUACAGGUCCUGAGAAGAUAUACAUCCUUCUCGACUGACAGGAUUAAGAGAUUAAUGACAGGCAUAGGAAAUCACAAGGGUAUUGAUUGGGGAAGUGAUAAGUGUCCAUGAAAUCUUCACAAUUUAUGUUUAGAGAUUGCAGUAAAGACAGACAUAAGAAAUUACAAAAGUAUUAAUUUGGGGAACUAAUAAAUGUCCAUAAAAUCUUCAUAAUCCACGUUCUUCUGUCAUGGCUUCAGCCGGUCCCUCCGUUUGGGGUCCUGACUUCCCGCAACAUCUCUCCCUUUCUUUUUAUAUAAAUGUGCCAUGGCGAUGAAGGCUUGUUCGUUCUCUCGAUUUUGACACAGGAUUACUUGACUGGUACGGCACACUAAAAGCAAGCCGAUUAAGCAGAGAAACAUAAUUCCAAAAUUUACUACAGUGGAGCCCCCAGUAGAUUUAAUCCAAGUUGUGGGGUUUAAUCCAUAAAGAUUUUCUGCCACCUGAUCUAACGCCUGAGCUCUAGGCACGAUGGAUAAGUGAGCUUGGGAGGCUUCAAAAAUUUGUUUUUUUAAUUUAGUAGUUUUCAAUGAUAAAUUAUCUUUUCUACCUAGAAGGUGUCCUUUGACCAUUUCCCAUGAAUGAUCAGUCUUGUUAUAGGAAUAGGGGUGAUGCAGAAAUCCAAAGUAUUCCAAUUGCACUGCAUUUGCAUGCGAUGUUCCAGACUCAUUACCUGAUCUCCAAGCCAAAUAACAGAAUGUCUUAAAUCAUUAAUUUGCUUUGCCAAUCUUUGAUCGAUGCCUUGUUGAGAAUUCCACAUUUGGGUGGAGUUGGCUUGCCAAUCAUUAACAAAAUGAGCCGUUUGAAUAGACUGGUGUAAUUCCAUUCCGGCAGUGGUGGCCAUUGCAGUGACUGUAAUUAGGCCCAUGAUAACAGCGAUUAAAGUGAAAACAAAUAUCUUAGAUCUUUUUAGAAUUCGUUGUACCACUUCAUUAAUUAAAUGUAUUGAGGGGGAGGAUUCCCAAGGUCUAGGUAAAGUUAUCGGAAUCCAGAUUCCUUCUCAAGCUCGAACCAACUUUACACUUUUCCUGGAGUCAAAAUGGGAGUUAAUACAAGUGUAUAGAUGACAAUUGACGCAUUGGACAGUUUGAUUAUUCAUCCAAAUUUUGAUAUUUCCUACCAAUAGCAUGUAAGGAGGCUCAACACAACUCUGUAUGGGAACAGUCAGGUAGGAGGUAAGUAAAGCAGAAUGUCUGGGUCUACGUUGAUACUGAGAGAGUGGGACGGUAGUGGGAACAACAGUCAAAAUAGUUUUUCCUUCCCAUACUCGCAGUCCAGACGUGGCAAUAGCCAAUUUCCAAAGUUCUGGGUGUUCUGGGCUCAGAAUAGGGAGUAUCAUAGGAGGCCUGGUGGGGGGCGGGGGUAAUGCCUUUAUCUUCCCAUUUUAAGGGAAAGAAUGAGCUGAUCCUUGUAUGCAAAGUAGAAUGAUGAUUCUCUUUCUCCUGAUAAGAAAUAAAAUAAGUAGCCUCCAGGCAUUCCCUUCCACAGAGGAGCAAUUGUUUUUUAAAUAGUCCUUUGGUGCCCAGUCUAUUACUAAACCAUAUGAGUCAUUUUUUAAUAUUACUGCAUGUGAGUUAACACAAUCUUCCCAAAUUAAAGUUUUAGAUGGUCCCUCAAAAUGUUUAGGGCAUGGUUUUCCUGCAGGUUUAUACUGAAAGUAUGGGGUACCUCCCAUUACUCCUCCUUUCAUUUGUUGUAAAGGAGAAAGGGAGAGGCCAGAGGCCAAAUGUCCCAUUUUAUCUGUAGCUGAUGUUUCUGAAAGAUAAGCAGCCCAGAACUGAGUUUCUAGAUGGAUGCAACCAGGUGCAUGUCCGAGGCACAGAGAGGGGUAUUUAUAACGCAUGGUAACAUUAAAUGCAGUGCCUUCUUCUCCUGGUUGAGCAGGGCAAGGGUCGUCUAUGGCUCCAGGCAUCCACACACUAUCAUUAGUGUAGAUUUCUGCGGGAGCAUCUAUCCGGGUGAGAGGGCGAAUAAGUGGAGGAAAAGGCACCUAAGCCCAAGAAGAAUAAUUAUGUGUAGCAGGUAAAUCAGUGUGAGAGGAAACUGGUGAGACAGAAAGUAUAAGGAGGAGAAUCAUUAAAUAAAACCUAGUGUAAGCGAGAUGGAGUGCUGAAGGAGAAAGAGAAGAACAGAGGGAUGUUAUUUUCAGGCUAAUAGAAAUGGUGAGAUAUUUAGGUUUGUAAGGAGAAAAAGAAAGGUAAUCAGGAGAAGUGUGAUUAGUUAGAUGGGUCUCCACUGUCAUCAGGGAGGAUUGAUUUACACCCAUUGUGAUUUGGUGUGCCUGUUUCUGAGGAGUCGGCACAGAUCUCACCACAUCUGAAGGCAGUCUCUGACACAGACGUCUCUUCACUGUGGUUUUGACUGUCAGUAUUCACAAGAAGCUUGAGUCUUCUGGUGGGUACCCAGACAGGGGAUUGAUGAUCUCCUGGUGAAACACAAGCAUAUCCUCUUCCCCACGUUAAGUAGAAUAAGAGACAAUAUUUAAAGGUUUGGGGAAAUCCUGUAAGGCAGUAAUCACAGCAAUUAACUCCGCCUUUUGAACAGAAGUAUAAGAGGUAGAAAGAAGUUUGUCUGCAGGACCUAUAUAGCCAGGAUUGCCAUUACCAGAGCCAUCAGUGAAUACUGUAACGGCCUCAGGAAUGGGUUGAUUUUUGGUUAAUCGAGGAACCACCCAAGACGUUAUUUUUAUAAAAUCAAACAAUUUGUUUUUUUGGAUAAUGAUCGUCAAUAACACCAAUAAAAUCAGCCAAGUGAAUUUGCCACAGUACAGAAUGCUGAAAGGCAGCUUGAACUUCGAGCUGAUUUAAAGGAACUACAAUUACACUUGGAUCAAAUCCAGAAAUUUGAAGUAUUCUGCACCGAACCUGUCCAAUUAAUAUGGCUAUUUGGUCUAGAUAAAGUUUUUGACACAGAAUGAGGAAGAAAACACCAUUCCACUAAAUCAUUAUGUUGAACUAUUAGUCCAGUAGGAGAGUGUAAUGAAGCAAAAACCAGAAGCUGAAAAGGCUGAAAUGUCUGUACUCUAGAUAACUGGGCAGUCUGGAUUGUUUCCUCUACAAAUUCCAGAUCCAGUACAUAGGUCGGAAUGCCUAAAGUAGGUCUUAAAUAAUUAAUGUUACCCAAAAGUUUUUGGAAGUCAUUUAAAAUUUUUAAAGAAUCUCUCCUAAUUUGAAUUUUUUGAGGUUGAAUACAUUGUUUAUCGACCACCAUUCCUAAAUAUUGAACAGGAGUGGUCUGUUGAAUUUUAUCCUGAGUAAUGUGUAACCCAGCCUCUGUAACACAGCGGCUCAAAAUUUGGUAACAGUCAAUUAAUUUUUUAUCAGUGGGGGCAGAACUUAAAAUAUCAUCAAAAUAAUGAAGAAUAUAGGCCUCGGGAAAUCGGGCUCAAACUGGUGAAAGCACUUGUCCAACAUAAAGCUGGCAGAUUGUAGGGCUAUUUGGCAUUCCCUGAGGAAGUACUUUCCAUUGAUAAUGAGCUACAGGCUCCUGAUUAUUGAUAGAUGGUACAGUAAAAGCAAAUUUUUCACAAUCCGAUUUAUGUAAAGCGAUAUGAAAAAAAAAAACUCUUUAAGAUCAAUAAGUAUGAGAGGCCAAUCUUUAGGUAUUAAAGCAGGGGCAGGCAUGCCGUGUUGUACGGCCCCCAUAGGUUUAAUUACAGCAUUAAUGGCCCUUAAAUCGGUUACCAUCCGCCAUUUGCCUGAUUUCUUUUUUACUAGAAACACAGGAGAAUUCCAAGGGGAAAGAGAAGGUUCCACAUUUCCAAGUUGUAACUGCUCAGAAACCAAUUGAUUUAAAGCCUCCAGUUUUUCUUUAGAAAGCGGCCACUGCUGAAUCCCAGGGCCACUUGUCUUAUCUCCUUUGUUUAAAAGGAUAUUAGGUAGUAAAAGCAAUUGAGCUUGUUGAACAGUAGUAAAAGAAACAGGAGCUUGGGCUGGGGAGUGUAAUUUAUCCCAAGCUCUCAUACACACUUUUGUUACUUGUUCUGUGGUAAGAGUAUCAAAGUUUAAUUGGGCAUAAGCAUCAGAGAAACUAUCGGAGCCUAUGAGCUGAGCCUGAGUAAUUAGAAUGCCAUUACUCCGAUUUAGCUGAGCCUGUAAACAGGCCUCCUCUGACCACCAGGCUGAGAUGGACUUAGAACAGAUUUUGCCAAAAGAUCACAGUCUGAAGGAAGCAAAACGACCUCAGUAUAAAAAGUGUGCAAUACCAUUUGAACAUAAGGAAAAGUAGGACCAUACUGAGUACAAGCAUCCUUAAAUUGUUUUUAAAAAGGUAAGAUUGAGCGGCGCAUAUCGACGCAGACUGGUUGAGGAACUGAAAUGACAGGAGGGUGAGGGGCUGUAGUGGAUGGGGGAGGGCCUGGAGAAUGACAGGUAAAUUGUAGUUUGGUCCCAGAGCCAUUAUUUAAUGCUGGAGGUUUGAAGAGAGAAGAAUUAGCAUAUUUAUGGUACCGGGCUUUGUGAGUCACAGCCGCAGGAGUUUGAAGUACCAGCUUUUCGUGAGAAGAAGUAAGAAAAGUAGGGGGAAACUUUAAGCCAAAGUUACCAGUUAGAAAUCAAAUUUUCAGAAUCGUUAGGGUGGGGAGGAGUAGCUGAAGGGAGAGUCUGAACGAAGGCCAUGUGGGAGAGGAAGGUUGAGAAAAAGGCAGAGAAACUGAGGAAAAGGCAGAAAACUGUGGCAACUGCAGGGGUUCACGAGAUUGGCAAGCCACGAAGAUGGCACGCACCAAGCACCCCAAACAGUGAUGGGAACAUAAUACCCGGCCGAGACCAGUUUUCGGAAUGCUUUACGGACACAAUCACACAAUUUUAUAUACACCGUUCCUUUUUCAGGAAACCAAGAACAGUAUUUUUCUACUGCCUUGAAUAGAAUGAUCAUAUUUUUCAUGGUUACCGGUUUUAACAGGAGUUUGUUAGAUUACACAUGACCCAUAGUUAACCCAGACCUUACACAGAUUACUCACCACUCGUCGGGCAGUUGAACACGCUUAUCUGUGGACCAAGCCGAUUGACGUUUCACCGCACCUACCAAAGGGAAUCCGGUUUCCUCAUGCACUUAGGAAAAAAGAAAGACCACGUGGGCGCCAGAUAUCGGGGGACCUGCCCCGAUAAUCACAAUGAUGGCAGCAGCCCAUAUGGGGGGCCCGCCCAUGAUGCCAAUGAUGGGCCUUCCUGCUCCUGGGAUGAUGCCAGUGGGACCUGCUCCUGGAAUGAGGCCGCCCAUGGGAGGCCACAUGCCUGUGAUGCCUGGGUGCCCAAUGAUAAGACCUCCUGCCCGUCUCAUGAUGGUGCCCAGUCAGCCCAGAAUGACUCGACCAGACAGAUAAGGAUAGAGGGGAGGCCUCAUUGCAUCAGUGUUGUUUUGUUGUUGUUAUUGUUGUGUUUUUUUGUUUGUAAUGUUUUGUUUUGUUUUUGAGACAGAGUCUUCCUCUGUCGCCCAAGCUGGAGGGCAGUGGCAUGAUCUCAGCUCACUGAAACCUCCACCUCCCGGGUUCAAGCGAUUCCCCUGCCUCAGCCUCCUGAGUAGUGUGGGACUACAGGCGUGUUCACCAUGCCCGGCUAAUUUUUUUUAUUUUAGUAGAAACGAGGUUUCACCAUGUUGGCCAGGAUGGUCUCAAUCUCCUGACCUCGUGACCCGCUCGCCUCAGCCUCUGAAAGUGCUGGGAUUAAAGGUGUGAGCCACUGCGCCUGGACUAUAUGAAUUUUAUAUUUACCUGUUCCCUUCACCAGGAGAUCAUGCUGCUGUGAUGUCGGGUUUUCUUAACAGCGUAAGGAAGACUUGCCCCCUUGCCCUAUCAAAGAGAAUAGUUUUGGAGGGGAGAAGUGGGACCAAAAAAGAUGCAGUUUUCAUUUGUAUUGGGAAAUGUGAAAAUAAAAUUGACAACCCUUUCAGUUAAAAACAAAAAAAGAAAAGGAAAGAAGAUGUGGGGCUGCCAUAUGCAAUACCGUGGAUUUCAUGGAUCUUCUACUCUGGAGGCAAAUAUUAUCUUUACUGAAGCCAGACCAACCUAACACAAAGACCUUUUGUUUUUUUAAUGUGACUGUGUUUUAUUUUAGAAUGUGUAAUUCACUUUAGAAGGGUAAAGUACCUGUCUGGGGAAGACUAUUUAAUUUCCUGCAUUUAUUUAGAAUGUUGGCUGAUGUUGUUAUGAAGGGAAACAGCUCUAACAACUGAGUGCCCCCCACAUAGCCACAGCUCAUGAGUUCACGGGGCAAAGGAAUUGAACAGCAGCCUCCUAAUAGCCAGCCUUCUCUGUGAUGUGGAAAUAAUUAUCAGCAUGUAAAAGACUAUAUAUAUAUUCAACAAUUCUGAUCCCCUGAAAAAUUCAAAUCUACAACUGAUUUGCUUCCUGGGCUCCUGAAAACAACUUUGUCAAAAUUGUUCAGAAAUAUAAUCAGCCAAUCGUUGCCCCUUGGGGACGCAGGAUAAAGCAAGUCAGCUAUGACCAAUGUGGAGUCGGCCAUGCACAAUUACAUGCAGACCUGCAUGAUAUCGAGUUCCUGCUAUGGUCCCUCCCCAGUCAGGCCCCCAUUGCCUGGGCUGCAACCAGAAGCAUUCAGGCACAAGUGCAUUCAACAAAUACUUAUUUAAUUGUAUUGGUGGUUAGAGGGUUGCAAUUGAUUAAGGUACAUUAAUGGAUCCAUGUCCUCCCUGUAUCCAAGACUCUGCCAUUUGUCUCUGCAGUUCCUCCCACUGAAGAAUCGGAGUAUAUUUCUCCAGUCCCUAAUGUUGGGUUUUGUAAUGUGUCUAGCUUUGGCCACUGGAAUAUUAAUCUGUAUGACCAACAACUUGGAAAGUGUGCAUUCAUUUGUGCUCACUCACUCCUGCUAUCACCAUGACAACAAGCCCAGGCCAGACUGCUGCUUCCAGCAGAAGAUAAGAGACACCAAGAGCAAAGUCGAGCUUCCCAGACAUGCUCAUGCUAGAUUGACCAAUCCUCAGCUGACCCAUAGAUCCAUGAAAAUAAACGAUUGUUGUAUUAAGCCACUGAGAUUUGGAGUGACUUGUUAUGCAGCAUUUUGUGACAACAACUAACUGACACAAGGGUCACUGUCCUUUAUCUCUGUAGAUUUUAACCAAUUUUAAUAGCUAGAUGGAGAUCUUCUAGUUGCCUUUAUUUAUAAUGAAUAUGACUGUAGAGCUAGUUUGGCCUGACACUACCAGUAACCUACCCAGAAAUUCAGAAAUACUUUCUUCUCCAACCUGCCCCAACCAACCUUUUGUUUGUUUGUUUGUUUUUGGGUUCUCCCUCUUUGCCUAGGCAAGAGUACAAAUGGUACAGUCAGAGCUCACUGUAGCCUCAAAAUCCUGGGCUCAAGUGAUCUUCCCCUUCAGCCUCCUAUGUAGCUAAGACUACAGACAUGUGCCACCAUGCCUGGCUAAUUUUUUUAUUCUUUGCAGAGAGAGGGUCUCACUAUAUUGCCCAAGUUGGUUUCAAACUCCUGGCCUCAAGCAGUCCUCCUGCCUCACCCUUCCAAAGUGCUAGAAUUAUAGGCAUGAGCCACCACACCCAGCCUCUUCUUCUUUUUAAAUAGAAACUUUAUUUUAUUCUGACAGUGGGUUUCUUUCUUUCUUUUUUAUUUUUAAGAAAAAGUUGGCCCAGCCCCAGGGAAUAAAUUUUGACUGCUCUAAACAACUAUAGACCAAGGGCCAAAUCUGGCCCUCUGACUGUAUAAAUUAACUUUUACUGGAAUAAAACCAGGUCCGUUGAUUUAUCCAUUGUCUACAUACGCUUUUAGGCUACGAUGGCACCACUGCGUCACUACAACAGAGGUUAUUUAGACCAAAAGCCUAAAAUAUUACCGUUUGCCUCUUUAUGGAGAAAGUUUGCCAUUCCCUAUCUAAGGUUUAGAUUCUGAGCUUAUCAUUUUAUCCUACCCGCCCUCACCAGUGACUGGCUCAAAACAAGUCUGUAAUUCCAUUCUGACUGUUCUACUGAGGGAAUUCCCCCUUCUUCUCAUGCAGAGCUGAUGAGGGUAAGUUGUAUUAAUAGGACAUACGCUCAGGUUUUCUGAAAAAUACUUUUAUCUAGAAAUGCAUAGGAAUAUGCUGGUGCCUGAAUGUACCAUCCGGGGGCCUGGAGAUUGACUCCCCUGCCUCCACAGCUGGUGCUCACACUUACUACUGAGAGGCCUGAGGAAACACCUGCCUACCCACCACCAGAACCUGCAUAGGUCACCUGGAGAACUAGAGAUCAGCCUGCCACACACACCACCCAGGAGCCCAGUGGUGCACCUGCCCACCUGGCCCAGUGCUGCCACUGCCAGCAACAAAAGAAGCCACCUGCAGGCCCAGGGAUUGGCUCACACAGACAGGCUAUCAUCAGUGCCCACAAACGCUGCCCAUGGUCCCUAGUAUUGACACACCUGGUCCACCGCCACUACCACUGAUGCUGAAGGACAAGACUUCCUGGCAUCCCCAUCCUCAGCAAAGCCUCACCACAGCCUCCAAUAACAACUGCCGUCUGGCCAAGUGUGGUGGCUCACGCCUGUAAUACCAGCACUUUGAGAGGCCGAGGCGGGUAGAUCACGAGGUCAGGAGUUCGAGAGCAGCUUGGCCAACAUGGUGAAACCCCGUCUCUACUAAAAAUACAAAAAUUAGCUGGUCAUGGUUGCACGUGCCUAUAGUCCAGGCUACUCAGGAGGCUGAGGCAGGAGAAUUGCUUGAACAUGGGAGGCAGAGGUUGCGGUGAGCUGAGAUUGUGCCACUGCACUCCAGCCUGGUGAGAGAGUUAGACUCCAUCUCAACAACCACAAAAAAAAAAAAACAAAAAAAAAACAAAAAAACACUGCAGUCUAAGCCACUGAAUGACUCACAGGCACCACUCAUGCCAAUUACAGCUGAAGGAAUCAUAUGCAGACUAUACCACUGUACCCACCCAGAAUCAAAGCCAAAGUGUGAUAUCCAAUGAACACUGUAGAUACAGCUAUAAGAAAAGGUCUUUCCCAUAUAAAAGCCAAUCCAUAAAAUUGGAAGAAAUGACUGUUAUGUCAGAGGCACAGAUAGUCACAUAAGGAUGCAAGAAAUAUGAAAAAGGAAACAUAACAUCUCCAAAGAAGCACAAUAAUUCUCCAGCAACAGAUCCAAUGAAAAGAAAAUCUAUGAAAUGCCUGAAAAAAUUUCAGAAUAAUGUUAUUAAAGAAACUCAGGGAGAUACAAGAGAACACAGAUAAUGAAUACAAAAAAACAAAAAACAAAAAACAAAAAAAGAAAACAGGAAAACAAUUCAUGAUCUGAAUCACAAAUUCAACAGAGAUAGACAGCAUAACAAAGAGCCAAACACAAAUCCUGGAAGACAAUAAAUCAUUGAAAUAAAUACAAAAGAUAAUUGACAGCUUUAACAAUAGACUAGAUCAAGCAAAACAAAGAAUUUCUGAACCUGAAGACUGGUCUUUUAAAAUAAUCCAGUCAGACAAAAAGAAAGAAAAAAGAAUGAAGCAAGGCUACAUGACAUAUGGGAAACAUAUGUGACCAAAAACUGAAAUUCUGGGAGUUCUGGAUGGAGAUGCGAUUGGUAAAGGCAUCGAAAACCUAUUUAAUGAAAUAGUAACUGAAAACUUCCUGAAUGCUUCCAAAUGCAGGAAGCUCAAAGAUUACCAAGUAAAUACAACUCAAAAAGGUCUUCUCCAAGGCACAUUAUGGUAAAAUUGUCAAAAGACAAAGAGAAAAUGCUAAAAACAGGAAGAGAAAGGUAUCAAGUCACUUAUAAGAGAAUCUCCAUCAGGCUAACAGGGAAUUUCUCAGCAGAAACCUUACAGGCUAGGAGAAAAGGGGAUGUAUAUUACAAGUAAAAAAUAAAAAUAAAAAAAGUAAGCCAAAAAUACUAUACCCAGCAAAGCUAUCCUUCACAAAUGAAGGAGACUGGCAUAGUGGCUCACAUCUGCAAUUCCAGAGACUCAGAAGGCUGAGGCAGUAGGACCAUUUGAUCCCAGGAGUUCAAGGCUGCAGUGAGCUAUGAUCAUGUCACUGUACUCCAGCCUGGGUGACAGAGUGAGACUCCAUUGCUAAAAAAAAAAUAGUAAUAAUAAAAGAGAAAAAAGUAUUUCCCAGAUAAGCAAAAGACUGUUUGUUUGUGUCUUGUUUGUUGCGGUCCUACAAGAAAUGUUUAAGGGAGUCCUACACUGGGAAGUGAAAGAACAAUAUCUACCAUCAUGAAAAUACAUGAAAGUAUAAAACUCACUGGUAGUUCAGACACACAAAGAACAAAGGAUUCAAACAUCACCACUAAAGAAAACCACCAAACUGCAACCAUAAAUAAUGAGAGAAAAAAGGAACAAAGGUGUAUUAGUCUGUUUUCACACUGCUGAUAAAGACAUACCUGACUGAGACUGGGCAAUUUACAAAAGAAAGAGGUUUAAUGGACUUACACUUCCACAUAACUGAGGAAGCCUAAGAAUCACGUUGGAAGGCAAGAAGCAAGUCAUGUCUCACAUGGAUGGCAGCAAUCAAAGAUAGAGCUUCUGCAGAGAAACUACCCUUUUCAAAACCAUCAGACCUUGUGAGACGUAUUCACUAUCAUGAGAACAGCAUGGGAAAGACCUGACCCCAUGACUCAAUUACUUCCCACCAGGUCCCUCCCACAACAUGUGGGAAUUCAAGAUGAGACUUGGGUGGGGACACAACCAAACCAUAUCAUUCUGCCCCUGGCCCUUCCCAAAUCUCAUAUCCUCACAUUUCAAAACCAAUCAUGCCUUCCCAACAGUCCCCCAAAGUCUUAACUAAGUUCAGCAUUAAUUCAAAAGUCCACAGUCCAAAGUCUCAUUUGAGACAAGGCAAAUCCCUUCUGCCUAUGAGCAUGUAAAAUCAAAAACAAGUUAGUUACUUCCUAGAUACAAUGGGGGUAUAGGCACUGGGUAAAUACAGUCAUUCCAAAUGGCAGAAAAUUGCCAAAACAAAGGGGCUACAGGACCCAUGCAAGCCCAAAAUCCAGUGGGGCAGUGAAAUCUCAAAGCUCCAAAAUGAUCUCCUUUGACUCCAUGUCUCACAUGCAGGUCAUGCUGAUGUAAGAGGUGGGCUCCCAUGGCCUUGGGAGAAAAAAGGCCACAGCUCCACUCCUGUGGCUUUGUAUGGUUUAGACCCCCUACUGGCUCCUUUCACGGGUUGGCAUUGAGUGUCUGCAGCUUUUCCAGGCACACAGUGCAAGCUGUCACUGAAUCCAGCAUUCUGGGGUCUGGAGGAUGGUGGCCCUCUUCUCAAAGCUCCACUAGGUGGCGCUGCAGUAGGGACUCUAUGUGGGGGCUCCGACCCCACAUUUCCCUUCUGCACUGCCCUAGUGGAGUUUCUCCAUGAGUGCCCUGCCCCUGCAGCAAACUCCUGCCUGGAUAUCUAGGCAUUUCCAUACAACUUCUGAAAUCUAGGCAGCAGUUCCCAAACCUCAAUUUUUGACUUCUGUGCACCCACAGGCUCAACACUAUGUGGAAGCUGCUAAGGCUUGGGGCUUGCACCCUCUGAAGCCACAGCCCACGUUCUGCCUUGGCGCCUUUUAGCUGCAGCUGGAGUGGCUAGGACUCAGGCACCCUAGGCUGCUCACAACAGGGGUCCCUGGGUCCAGCCCACAAAACCAUCUUUUCUUCCUAGGCCUCUGGACCUUUGAUGGGAGGGGCUGCCAUGAAGACCUGUGACAUGCCCUGGAGACAUUUUCCCCAUUGUCUUGGGGAUUCACAUUUGACUCCUCGUUACUUAAACAAACUUCUGCAGCCAGAUCGAAUUUUUCUUGAAAAAAUGGGAUUUUCUUUUCUAUUGCAUUGUCAGGCUGCAGAUUUUCCAAACUUUCAUGCUCUGCUUCCCUUAUAAAACUGAAGGCCUUUAACAGCACCCAAGUCAUCUCUUGAAUGCUUUGCUGCUUAGAAAUUUCUUCUAUCAGAUACCCUAAAUCUCAAGUUCAAAUACCCUAUCAGAUACCCUAAAUCGUCUCUCUCAAGUUCAAAAUUCCACAGAUCUCUACAGCAGGGGCAAAAAGCCACCAGUCUCUUUGCUAAAACAUAACAGGAGUCACCAUUGUGCCAGUUCCUAACAAGUUCCUCAUUUCCAUCUGAGACAACCUAAGCCUAGACUUUAUUGUCCAUAUAACAAUCAGCAUUUUGGGCAAGUCUCUAGAAAAUCUCUUCCAAAUUUUCCCACAUUUUCCUGUCUCCUUCUGAGCCCUCCAAACUGUUCCAACCUCUGCCUGUUUCCCAGUUCCAAAGUCACUUCCACAUAUUCAGGUAUCUUUUAGCAACACCCCACUUCUGGUACUAAUUUACUGUAUUAGUCCAUUUUCACACAGCUGAUAAAGACACAUUCAAGACUGGGAAAUUUACAAAAGAAAGAGGCUUAAUGGGCUUACAGUUGUACAUUGCUGGGGAGGCUUCAAAAUCAUUGCGGAAGUCAAGGAGAGGCAAGUCAUAUCUUACAGGGAUGGCAGCAGGCAAAGAGAGAGCUUGAGCAGGGAAACUCCUCCUUUUAAAACCAUCAGAUCUCAUGAGACUUAUUCACUAUUAAAAGAAUAGCAUGGGAAAUACCUGCCUCCAUGAUUCAACUACUUCCCACUGGGUCCCUCCCACAACACAUGGGAAUUCAAGAUGAGAUCUGAGUGGGGACACAGCCAAACCAUAUCAAAAGGAUAUACAAAAUAACCAGAAAACAAUGAACAAAAUGACAGGAAUAAGUCCUCACCUAUUAAUAAUAACUUCGAAUAUGGGUUAAAUUACCUACCUAAAAGAUAGAGACAGGCUUAAUGGAUAAAAAAUGACCCAACAACAUCUACAAGAAACUCACUUCACUUGUAAAGACACACACAGACUGAAAGUGAAGGGAUGGAAAAAGAUACACCACACAAACAGAAAUCAAAAAUAAUCAGGAGUAGCUAAACUUACACCAGAUAAAACAGACUUUAAGUCAAAAACUGUAAAAAGGACAAAGAAGGUCAUUAUAUGGUAAUAAAGGGAUCAAUUCAGCAACAAUGUAUAACAAUUCCAAAUAUGCAUGCAACCAACACAAGCGCAUCCAGAGACAUAUAGCAAAUAUUAUUAAAUCUACAUGGAGAGAUAGAGUCCAAUACAAUGAUAGUUGAGAACUUCAGUAUCCUACUCUCAGCAUUGGACAGUUCAUCUAGACAUAAAAUCAACAAAGAAACAUUAGAUUUCAGCUGCACUUUAGACCAAAUGGACCUAACAGUUAUUUUCAGAAUAUUUCAUCCAGCAGCAGCAGAAUAUACAAUCAUCUCAUCAACACAUGGAACAUUCUCCAGGAUAGAACAUAGGUUAGGACACAGAACAAGGCUCAAUAAAAUUUUAAAAACUAAAAUCAUAUCAAGUGUCUUCUCAGACCACAAUGGAAUAAUACUUGAAAACAAUAAGAAGAAGAAAUUUGGAAACUGUACAAAUACAUGGACAUUAAACAUGCUAUUGAAUAAUCAUUGGGUCAAUGAAGAAAUUAAGAUGGACAUCAAAAAUUUUUUUUAAACAGAAAAUGGAAAUACAUCAUGCAAAACCUAUGGGAUACAGCAAAAGCAAUACUAAGAGGAAAGUUUAUAGCAAUAAAUGCCUACACGAAAAAAGUAGAAAGAUCUCAAAUAAACAACCUAAUGAUGCACCUCAAGGAACUCAAAAAGCAAGAACAAAUCAAACACACAAUUAGUAGAAAGAAAAAAAAAUAAAUAACAUAGCAGAACCAAAUGCAACAGAGACAAAAAAAAAAUGCAAAGAAUCAACAAGAUAAAAGUUGGUUUUUUGAAAAGUUAAACAAAAUUGAUAAACCACUAGUGAGGCUAACCAAAAAAAAAAAAAAAAAAAAAAAAAAAAAAAAAAAAAAAAAAAAAAAAAGAAAGUAGACCCAAAUAAAUACAAUCAGAAAUGAAAAAGGAGACAUUGUAACUGUUACCAAAGAAAUAAAAAGAA